UUUAUUGGAGAGUUUGAUCCUGGCUCAGGAUGAACGCUGGCGGCGUGCCUAAUACAUGCAAGUCGAGCGAAUGGAUUGAGAGCUUGCUCUCAAGAAGUUAGCGGCGGACGGGUGAGUAACACGUGGGUAACCUGCCCAUAAGACUGGGAUAACUCCGGGAAACCGGGGCUAAUACCGGAUAACAUUUUGAACUGCAUGGUUCGAAAUUGAAAGGCGGCUUCGGCUGUCACUUAUGGAUGGACCCGCGUCGCAUUAGCUAGUUGGUGAGGUAACGGCUCACCAAGGCAACGAUGCGUAGCCGACCUGAGAGGGUGAUCGGCCACACUGGGACUGAGACACGGCCCAGACUCCUACGGGAGGCAGCAGUAGG
rnacentral:rRNA from 1 species